rnacentral:rRNA from 1 species
GACGAAGGAUGCAAGCGUUAUCCGGAUUCAUUGGGCUUAAAGGGAGCGUAGGUGGCCUUAUAAGUCAGUGGUGAAAUCUCUGGGCUUAACCCAGAAAUUGCCAUUGAUACUGUAGGGCUUGAGUAUAGUUGCCGUUGGCGGAAUAUGACAUGUAGUGGUGAAAUACAUAGAGAUGUCAUAGAACACCGAUUGCGAAGGCAGCUGACGAAACUAUAACUGACACUGAGGCUCGAAAGUGCGGGGAUCAAACAGG